rnacentral:lncRNA from 1 species
AAUGUCAGUUCUCAUAUUUAAUGUUUUCAUAAUUUUGUUUGCAACAUUUACCACAUAAAUCAUCUAAAUAAAUAGAUGCUGUACAGUCUCUUAUCCAUAUCAGUACAAAAAUAAAACCACGCUUUGUGUCAAAUUAUACUUGAGCCUGCCCUCCCUUUGCUAUUACAAUCUCCUUUUACAGCACAUACUCGCUCAGAAAAGGCAUUAUACUCCGAUUGGUUUGCUUGGAAUUGGUUUACUCCCUAUUUCCCCCCCCCUCCCCAAAUACAUUCAAUUAGUCUGUACAAAAGCUAGAAGCUCAUUCUGUGCAAAAGGAAGCUUUCUGUGUGCAAAGACUCAGAUAUUCUAGCGUGUAACAACAGCAACGACUGAAGGGACAAGAACAAAAAUAACCAGGGACCCUCCCCUCUAUCCAACCCAAGCCCCCAUCUACUCCUCCUUCUCCCAACUGAAAGGGAGCAUACCAAAUUGGAUGAGUCAGUGUGCAAAAGGGUCCCAACGCUGUGCAUAUGCUGAGGGGAAAGGUUGGUGCUGAAACCCAGAGGGAGAGCUGGGGUUCCCGCGGCUGCAGAGCUGGCUAGGUGAGGAAAAACAGAUUAUCUCAUCUUAGCCUGCUCAAAGGGUUCUCAAGAUACACAGAACAAAAGCUUCAUCUAAAUGAUUUCAGUUCUUUUGUUGCCAUUAUGUUGGGGAUGAGGUGAGGAAAUGGCCUCUAGAAAAAUCCAGCAGCAGCUGAAGACAGCUCCUGCUUUACCCGCCCUUCCUCUCCCCAUUCCACAACAAAGCUAAUAAGGUGCAAUUUUUCAGACAGGAAACUCUGUAAAGAUGUCUCUAGAGCUGGCAGAAGUGGUCAUGGUUCCAGACUAGGACCACUCAAACUGAAACUCAACUUCAUUUUUCCCUUUCUUCAGACAAAGGAGGCCGUGAGGGAGGAAGCCAACCUGGACCCCGAAGGUGAACUUGGCCACUCUCCUCUCCCCGAGUGGGGAGCCUGCCUUUCCUUGGUGCGGUGGAACACGCUCCCCCUUCGGCCAUGGGAGGGAGGCAAAGGGCUGGGUGGCAGCUCUGGAAAAAUGAUAAGGAGCAGCCAGCAGCCUGAAACAAAUACAUCUUUUGCUUUUCAAAUGCCACUUUUAGGCAGAUGAUAAGGAGUACUUAGCACUCCUAGUGCUUUGCAUUUCCAAAGUGCUUCAAAACAUACUUCAGAUUUAAAAGCAACAAGAACAAAAAUAAAAAAAGCUGCUUAAUAUUUGACAGGUUUGCAAAAAGCUUCUUCGUGCUGACACUACAUUUUCUGGUUAAAAAAUAAUAAUAAUAAAGGCUUUCCACUUCUUCCUCCUCCUCCAAAAUCCCCCUCCCAGUGCCCCAGUAACGAGAUAAACUGUGGUAGAGGUUCCGAGCGGUCUUGGGAGCUUUCCUCUUCCAAGUCUGACCUGUACUCUCAGACAAGAGCCCCUGGUGUCUUUGCAGAGCAAAUGGAAACAACCUCAGGACCAAAGCUUGUACCCCAUCCCAGCUUGGUGGCAACCCAGCUCCUCCUGUCAGCCAUUACGUGCUCCCACUGCGCCCUGCUCCUCUCUAGAGCUCCCCGACAACUGGGGAUCAUCACCCACCCACUCCCUGCUAAGCCACUGUACUUUAAGAAAUUAAGGGUGCAAGGGAAAGAGAGGUGGAAGAGAAAAAGGGGUCACCACUCCAGGAAGUGCUUGUUACAGGAGAGGAUCUGAAGUGUCUGACCAUGUGGUUCCACACUCAGAAGGUUCACCUUUCUCUGCUAGGACAGUAAGCUCAGCAGGCAGAGGACAACAUAGUCUCUUGAUCAUAAGCUAUUGUCUCAAAACAAGUUUACCACACCCUUGGGGAAAACUGUUUUAUAACAAGCAUGGCAAAAGCAAUGUGUUCCCUUUACCUGUAUGUGCCAACGCUGUACAUUCCCUGUGCGAGCUGUUAACAUAGACAUCUCCCUUGCCUUCCCAGAUGGUAAAAGACAGAUAUAUAAAUGCAGCACUGACCACCUGCUCUCUACAGGACCAACUCAGAACUCGGAGGGGCAUCCACCCACUGAUGCAAGGGAUCAGCUUCACUAUAAGGUCUUUGCACUUUUAACAUGCCUUCUCUCUCAUGCCAGCCCACUCACAGGCUGGUCCUCAACCACCCAGCAACUCUGACUUCCUUCCCUCCCUUCCCUUACAAGCAGCUGCCCCUACUGUUUUCGUAGAAAGGCCCACUACCCUCUUUUUCCAAGCUUGCAGGUAAGCAAGGGGGAACAAGACAGGUAGAUACCUAUUAGCUUUUGAAAAGGAAGGUUUUGCACUUUCUGUGCUUCAGAAAGCACAAACUUAAAGCUUGAGAGAAGAGGAAGGGGUGGGGAGGCGGUGGUAGAUUUAGCUUUGCUCAAAUACAUGGAUGUGGCUGACAGCGCUCACUGCUGUCUUCCACACCCCAGCCUCUGUUGUGGCUAUCGCUGAGGGUCUUUGCAUGAGCUAUCCUGCCUAUUUUCUGUCCUGUGCGAGGCCUCCUCUCUCUGUUCCAGUGAAACCAUCAAACAGCACUGGCAUGCAGCAGGAAACAGUACCGGGGCCAAGGGCCCCCCGUGGGGUGAACAAACAAUUUUAUACAUUCAGUCACAAAACACCAGAAGAACAAUUCUGGACACUUUCACAACACUAACAACAAAAAAAGUGCCAUUCAUUUAUCAAUAAGCUUCUUUCUGUCUGAGGGUCUGACAUAAGCAAGGGUCAAUUCACUAACAAAUUUGAGCUUAUUUUGGCAAAUGGAACUGCUUUUGGGUGUUCUCACAAUAAUAUCCUGACCUUGCUUGAAAAAGGAAAAAAAAUAAACCAACCAAAAAAUAAAACCCAAAAAUUCCCAAACCAAACAAAAAAACCCCACCUUGGUCUGACUUCACAAGCAGAAGGGCCCCCAAGCAAGUGCAAGACAGUAAGAAGCAUGCAGGAGCUACAAGGCUACUUAAUGCCGCUAUUCAUGUGUUAAAACUUGCUGUUCCAAAGCAUCACAUAUAUGAGAGCACUAACAUCUAGUUUACAACCAUCCAGGAACAGAGGCAGUCCUUUCCAUUAUUAUUUUUGUUUUUUAAACACAGUGUUAACAAUAAAGAUUUUCCAGCCUCACAAGCUCCUCAGUUCAGUCGUAUAUAUACAGCGAGUUCACUGUGAGAAGAUCUAUGAAAGAAAAUCUUCUGUCCCCCGAACAUGGCUGAUACAAAUUCUCACAUGGAAACAGUUCCAAGCAUGACUAUUAGAACAGUUCUUCAUCAAGAAGUUUGUUUCUUGAAUACAGUUCAGCCAUUUCCACUGGCUGAAGUUUGGUUUUCUGGUUUACAGCCAUGGAGCCAAACGAGGUGUGCGAGAGUUAACCCGUUUCUAUUCUUGGCUUGUGCUUCAAAUAGAAUUAUUAAACUGAGCUUCAGCUGGAUGCUAUUCUGGCUGUUCUAAUCAAACAGAAUGCUUAACAAAGCUCUGAGCACAGCAUCUGAUUUUCAUCUUAGCCUAAGAGGUCCAAACUCAAUUUUCAGAUUUUGGGUUGUACUGGCAGAUGGAUGGUAUUGGGGAGAAGAAACAAGUAAACCCAGAGAACCUCUCUGGCCAUCACAAGUAGAACCCCCAUACAUCUCUACACCUGCAGAAGUGGAAUAAAGCUAAUUUUUUUAAGUCCCUGAAGACCAGCUCUACCAAGGAAGUUUAUGACAAUAUGUCACCAGACAAUAUGGAACAGAGCCACAUUUUAAACAUAUCAAGAGAAAAAUCUUCUCAGAGAGAUCUUUAAGAUAAGCAAGAAUUCAAAAAUGCAAAACCAAAAAGUCCACCCCAACACAGUAACUGCUUAGUUUCCUACCACAAACUCCUCCUCACACUCACAAACCAAACCCACGCACACACAACUUGUUGCAUCUUAACCCGAUCAGGGUUAACUCCUCACUGACCUGUACACAAAGUAGCGUGGCAGGCAGGUACUUUGUUUAACACUUCAUGUGGUGAGAUGAUUAGUCACCAGCAGAACACAAGCUAGAGUGAUCCAAAAAAUGAUUGAGAUAAGAAGCUGUGGGUGGAUCCUCUUUGAAAGACCACCACAGGUCUUUGAAAACUCCACUGCAAGAGGAAGAAAAGAUGUUUAAAGAGAAAUGCCAAAACAAAAGGUUGAGAAGUCUCAGAUGGUGAGCGGAGAGAAAAGCAGAGGAUGGAAAUUUUCUUUAAACUGAAAGAGGGGAGAUUUAGAUUAAAGGAAGAAAUUCUUCCCUGUGAGGGUAGUGAGGCGCUGGCACAGGUUGCCCAGAGAAGCUGUGGCUGCCCCAUCCCUGGCAGUGUUCAAGGCCAGGUUGGACACAGGGGCUUGGAGCAACCUGGUCUAGUGAAAGGUGUCGCUGCCCAUGGCAGGGGGCUGGAAUCUUUAAGAUCCCUUCCCACCCAAAUCAUUCUGUGACUCUAUGAAAUCCAGUUUUUUAGGACAAGCUCUUCCCUGCCACAGGAUUGGUAUCACUUCCCAUGUCAGCUAAACACAGGAACCUUAGUAAAUAGGAAGCUUUUUUGGUGUAUUUGUACACUGAGAUGAAGACAGACAAAGGCAGCAGUAGCUGCAUCAGGGUAAAGAAACCAGAUCCUAUAAAAGCCAUGAAUAUUUACAGGAUGAGCUGGAGUUCAAGACUUUUUAAAAAAAUAAGCUAAAAUAUUUUGCUUCUGCAGCCAUAACUACCUGACCUGCUACAACCCUCUAGAGAGGGCUCAGCCGUGUGGUGUCCCCACUGCUGACAACAAGAGAGAGAUACAGGUAUUCAGAGCAUUUGGCAGGUGUUGGGAAGAGGGGGGCUGUGGGAGGUGAUGAUGACAACACUGUCUGACCCCCCAACCUGCAAAAGUGGGUGCAACUCCAGAUAGAGAAGCCUCGUGCUGGACACCCACGUUCAACAAACAUCCUGAGCCUAUACGCUUACCUCAUCAAUUUGCCCUUGCUAGCUCUUGCAGGCUUCCUUCCCACUCACUCUUCCUCCCACUACAUAAUUCCACCCCCCUCCCCAGCUUCCACUUCUCACCCUUUCAGAUUUCUCCAUAAUAAAACUCCUGUGUCACUUUUGAGAGACAAAAGGUUCAUCCAGAAAGUUAAGAUCUUCCCAGUGGUCCUGAAACUGCUGUGACACAGCGGAAGACAGGCCUGCUCAAAAGAGCUCUGAGAUGGAAGGGGAAAUCCUGAGACUACACUGAGCUGCUAUAUCCUAUCUGAGGUAAAACCUGCUUUUAAUAAAAACCAUGGGGGCAGUCCAAGCACUUUGCAAAAAGUAGGUGUUUGGAUGACCAGAAGCCCUGGAACUCCCAAAUUCUGCAGGCCAGCAUCCAAGCCCUUCAAAGGAACACAGUGAGGAUUUCCAUGGGUGUCUUUACCUCAGAGCUCAGAAGGCUCAUAGCUUCAUUUAGAAUAAAUACAGCAGGUAAGAGAUGCUUCAGGAGGGGCAGGUAGAGAAAACAAAGGAUUUAAGGACAGUAAUCAUAAAGGUAGCCGAUGUUACCUUGCAGCACUCUGUCCUGCAGUUCCCACCUUAGAUGCUAGCUUACUUUUCUUUCUUUCCAUAGGAAAAGGUCUAUAUUUAAAAAUCUAAGUUAUUUAAAUAAAAUUUGCUUUUAAAAAAAUGGAAGAGAACAUG